CAGAGGGCUUUUCUGUACAGUUGCAGCUUCCCAGCACCACCGCCAGACAUAUGAGUAAUUGGCUGAGCAGCUCUGCAGAGCAGUCUCCUUGCAGUGUCCAAGCUGAAACGCAGAAGUAAAAAUAAGCCCAGUGUUAAUCUUGAGGAAUCAUAGGAUCAAAAACCUUGUAGAGAGCAAAAGUCAUGAAGAAAAAUAUUUUCUUAAAGAAAAAUUUUGUGGACAAAUUUGGUGUGUUUUUUAAGGGGCAUCCUGUGAUCUUGCAACGUGCUUCUGAGAUCCUUUCUUCUCAUCAUAGCUUGUAGGAUAGCUUUAAAUUAAUAAUAAGGAAGCCAUUCAGGGCAUUGGCUGUGUUGAGGUUCACAGCUUUCAUUCUGAAUGAGAGAAUAAAGUAAACUGAUAUUGAAAGCAAGGAGGGAGAAACAAACAGUCAGUAAGCCUAUAAAAGUCUUAGCCAAUUGCAAUGGCGAACAUCCUGCUGGCGAGGGUGACCUUGAAUGAACUAAGUGGGAUAAAGUCACCAGGCUGGACUGGCAGCUGAAGAACCAGGCUGGAUUCCAGCGAACAGAGAGCAGAUUCCUGACAAGAAUCUCCUGAACUCUGGCAAUGGCUUCUCGGUGUCGGAAAUGUGGACAACAGGUGCCCAGGAAUCCACCUUUCACCGCUGUUCGGAUAACAGAAGGAGAAAUGAAAUCUUAUCAUGAUUUCAUAGGAGGAUGCAUUAGACUGGAGUGUAUGGCAAAGAAAGAUGAAAUCAUGCAGCAGGAGAUACGGCCGCUGGUUGCAGUGGAUAUAAUAGAACAGCUACACAGACAAUUUGCUAUCUUAUCAGGAGGAAGAGGGAAGGAUGGAGCACCAAUUAUUACCUUCCCAGAGUUUGCAGGAUUCAGUGAAAUACCUGAUGAGGAUUUUCUCAAUGUGGUCACGUACCUAACCAGCAUCCCCAGUCUGGAGGCUGCCAGCAUUGGAUUCAUCAUCAUCAUAGACAGACGACGAGACAAAUGGAGCGCAGUCAAGGCAUCCCUGACACGGAUAGCAGGAGCAUUUCCAGGAAACCUACAGCUGGUAUUUGUCCUGCGUCCUUCACGCUUUAUCCAAAGGGCAAUCGCUGACAUAGGCAUUAAACUCUAUCGAGAUGACUUUAAAAUGAAGGUACCGAUCAUCAUGCUAAAUUCUGUCUCUGAUCUUCAUGGCUAUAUUGAUAAAUGUCAGCUGACCCGAGAGCUGGGAGGAACCCUGGAGUAUGGCCACAGUCAGUGGAUACAUCACCGAACUGCUAUUGAAAACUUCGCAAUGACAGUGAAAACAACAGCACAGAUGCUACAGACCUUUGGAACGGACUUAGCAGAGACUGAACUUCCCAAUGAUGUGCAGUGUACAGAGGACCUCCUAUCUGCACACACUGACCACCAUAGCAAGCUGAAGGAUGAGCUAAAACUGGCUGUGAAGCAGGGGGCCACACUACUGACGUGCAUUAGGGAGCCAGUCACCCGAAGUGCCAACAGCAAACUCAGUCCAGAUGAACUGGAAAAUGUGGCAACAGUGGAAAGGUUGUUGGCUCAGUUGGAUGAAACAGAAAAGGCUUUUGAUCAGUUUUGGACCAGGCAUCACCUAAAACUUGAACAAUGCUUGCAGCUUCGUCACUUUGAACAUGAUUUUAGAGAAGUAAAAUUAACGCUGGAUAAUCUCAUGGAAGCACAAGCAGGUUUUUCUGAUGUUGGAGACAGUGUGUCUCGAGUAGAACACCUCCUGAGGGAACAGAAACAACUGGAAGAAAAAGGACAGGAACCUUUGGAGAAAGCCCAGACUCUAGCUCUCCAUGGAGAACAGCUCAUCCAAAACAACCAUUAUGCAGUUGACUCCAUUAGACCAAAGUGUGUUGAACUCAGGCGUAUUUGCGAUGACUUUACUAACGAGACCAAGAAAAAGUAUGAUAUUUUGGGGAAGUCUCUCGAGCUGCAUAAGCAAUUAGAUAAGGCAAGCCAAUGGUGUGAAGCUGGAAUCUACCUCUUAGCUUCCCAAGCUGUGGACAAGUGCCAGUCACAAGAGGGAGCUGAAACUGCACUAGUUGAAAUAGAGAAGUUCCUGGCAACAGCAAAGGAGCACCAACUCUCGAACCCAAAGGAGUUCUACAAUCAGUUUGAUACGAUUCUCACACCUGAAAUAAAGGCCAAUGCCCAAAAGAUUUUACAAAAACUAGAAGAUGUACAAGAAAUGUUUGACAAGAGACAAGUGAGUCUGAAGAAGCUAGCAGCCAAACAGACCCGGCCAGUACAACCUGUCGCCCCACAUCCUGAAUCUUCCCCGAAACGAGCAUCACCAAAGACUACCAGACCAGCAGGAGUAGCUACCAACAGGAGGUCUGCAGAAAUUACUUGUCCUCCAAAGACCAUCUCUGAUGCAGAGUUAUCAAAAAAGAAAAGCAUUAAGAAGACUAAAGGUGGAAUUAAGAUUGAAGUGAUGCAUGAAGCGAGCCAAGGGGGAUCGAGCAGAGUCCUGGUUAUGAGUGAAAGCGAUGAGAACCUGUCGACGAGGAGGAGCCACAUAAUCAAUGAGCUGAUAGAAACUGAACGCGUUUAUGUAGAAGAACUCCAAAGCAUAAUAGAGGGAUAUGCUUCAGAAAUGGACAAUCCAAGUUUAUUACAUCUGAUUCCAUCAAUGCUCCAGAACAAGAAGGAUAUUCUAUUUGGGAACCUCCCAGAAAUCUAUGACUUCCACAACAGGAUUUUCCUUAAGGAGUUGGAAAAUUGCAUUGAAAAUCCUGAGCUCCUCGCCCGAUGCUUUUUGAAAAGGAAAGAGGACCUCCAAAUAUAUGAAAAAUACUGUCAGAACAAGCCAAGGUCUGAAGCUCUCUGGAGGCAGUGUGGAGACAGCAUCUUUUUUCAGGAAUGUCAGCGUAAACUGGAUCAUAAGCUCUCACUAGAUGCGUAUCUUCUAAAGCCGGUCCAGAGAAUUACCAAGUACCAGCUGCUAUUAAAGGAAAUGCUGAAAUGUAGCAAGAAUUCAGAGGGUACUGCUGAACUGGAAGAGGCCUUGGCCACAGUGCUUGAUAUCAUCAAAUCCGUAAAUGACUCCAUGCACCAGAUAGCAAUCACGGGAUACGAGGGGGAUGUAGGUGAGCUUGGUAAGCUGUUGAUGCAAGGUUCCUUCAACGUGUGGACUGACCACAAGAAGGGUCACAACAAGGUGAAGGACUUGGCAAGAUUCAAACCGAUGCAGAGACACCUCUUCCUCUACACAAAGAUGCUGCUUUUUUGCAAGAAACGAGAGGAAAACACAGAUGGUCAUGAGAAGACAGCUUCAUACAGCUUUAAAAAUUCAUUAAAGAUGAGCACAGUGGGCAUCACAGAAAAUGUAAAAGGAGAUAACAAGAAGUUUGAGAUCUGGUAUAAUGGCAGAGAAGAAGUCUAUAUCAUUCAGGCAUCUUCCGUUGAGCUGAAAAACACUUGGAUUUCUGAGAUACGCAAAGUUCUAACAGGGCAACUGGAAGCAUGUAGAGAAGCAAGUCAACUACACCAAAGAAUCACUGAGAGUGUGUACCAUGCACCAAUGAAUUCCUCCAAUAUAACCAGGUAUAGCAGAAAGUCAUCGAGCAUGUAUGAAAACAAAUCCGAGACAUCAAAUGUGGAAGCAUCUAACAACAAAAACAGGAAUUCCAGUCCCAGUGCCAGACAAAAGAGAGUUGAUGCUCCCACCAGCCUUAACCCUGAGCGCACAGCUCUUGCUAGAAAGCGAUUCACAUUGCAAGGUCUUUCCAACCGCAGAGCUCCACCCAAAGAUCCAGAAUCUAAGGAAAGAGAAGUUGCCCGUCGCUUUUCCCUAGCCUCCUCCAUCAGCACCACAGUUAAUGCAUCUGCUGUGACCAAAGGUCCCCUUGUUCCUGCAGUUAAAGUCAAGAGACAUGAAAUAAAGAGUGACCCAACUCCCCUGGGGUUUGAAGAUGCUUUUGAGAACACCAUAUUGGCCCAGACUAAAUGUAGCACUGGUUCCACCACAAGACCCGUACCUAGAUCUGCUUCACAGACAGGUUGGCCCAGUAAGCAAAUGCCCUCUCUAGACACAUUUGAAGACUUUGAAGCCAUUCCUUCCAGCAUGGAUGAACUCUCCAACUCUUCAGACAUGGAGGAAGAAACCAACCCCAACAAUGGGACCAAUCUUUUUCGAGUAGAAGGCAGUUUUGACAGCUGUUUCCCAGAUUCUCUUACACUUGAGGAUGGAGAUCUAGUGCAGUUUGUGCAGGAAGGAGAAAACGGGCAAUGGUUAGUGAAGAAGUUGGUCUCGGAAAAAAGUGAGUGGGUUCCUUCCAGUAUAUUGCAGCCAGCAGAGGGGGACACUAACAACAUAAUUAAGAACAGCAAUGCAGACAUGUACAACGAUUCCUGCAGCACUGCUUCACUUGAGUCGGACACCAAGGAGAGUGAGGUGGCUAAAAGCUUCCCAGCAGAGCAGAAGGCUGGCAGCUGAAUGGCAGGACAGGCCUUCCUCAGGACCCUCUCCAUCUCUUUGCUUAUUUUGGAUUGACACUGGAUCAAAGUUGCCUUUCUCACAAGCUCUGAGCUUCAUAAUUCUCUGAAACUUCAUUAACAUGGACAGUUGAGAGGAAAAACAAACUUGAGAGGAACAUUAAACAUCCAGACAACAUCAAGAACCAUCUUCAGUAUUAGAGGAGAAAAAUGCUUCUUGCAUUGUUUAUCAAACUGUUUCAAAAGAUGUGGCCUAAAUUAGGUCGACAGCAGAGCUGAAGAGUUACUAUGCACGCACCUUUUGGCAACUUUCCUUGAACACCGAGUUACUGCAGAGGGACACACACAUGGCUUGGAGUUCUUGCUCUACCAUGAGUCACUUGGAGGUUUUUCCAUUUGCUUGCCUCAGUAGCUGUGCCUUCCCCACCCUCCUUAAUCACAGCUGAUAGAUCACAAAUGUGCCCUUAUUGCUGAUGGUCAUCACCAAAACUGUCACACGUUAUAGAAUGGAUGUGAAAAGGAAACUUCUGACUUGGACCAUCAGAGAGGUUUCAUGCAGCAAUGGCACAGUGAACAACCUGUUGCAUUCAGCAUUAGUUUGGAAUAAUGCAGAUGGCAACUUGAUAUAUGGUGGAGAUGCAGGUCUUAGCCAAGAAGCAACGAUGCUGGGACAGCUACUGUGACACAGAACAUAUUUAAGUCUUUUUAUGAUAUAAGUCAUUCCUCUGCACCCUCUGCAGUCUGUGGUGGCUGGUUCACAAUCCUUUGCAUUUGGUGCCGAGAACUCAAAUGGAUGCCAUUUAAUGUCAUAUGUUUGGGUAGACUGCAUGCUUUCUUUUUGUGCUGGGCUAUGGAGUAGCUACAUUUCAUUCCCCAUAUGGAAUAUAUUUAAGCUUCACAAAUAGACAGUGAGAGUUAGAUGCUCCAAUGAGUGGGUAAAGUGUUAUUGUUAAAUACUUAUUUCCGGGAUGUUUGGCUAUAAGACUGUACCAAAUCUCUGCCACAAAAGGAUGUAAUGUAUUAUAAGAAGUGAUUACAGAUUUUAUUAUUUCUUUACAAGCCAUUAGCUCAUUUAGAGCAGCUGUUAAGACAUGAAAGCAUUUUGAUGGUAAUCGGGUCUUAGGUCCCACAAAAGCUGCUAGUACCUAAGUUAAGAUGAGAAUUGACUAAGGGUUGCAAACAAGUAGAGAUCAGACAGGAAGAAGUGACCCUAGGAGCUCGAGAAUUGGUGAUUGGCUUUUACCAUUAGAGAUUUUCUGUUUAUCCCUUAGAGUAGUGAUGCUCUAUGUAAAUAAUAAAAGGGACAAAAGCACUAAAAAUGGAGAUGAAGCAAAACCAAAAAUCACUCCUUGGUAAAAUAGCAAAAUAGUGAGUUUCUGACAUUUCUGUUAUCCUCUUUGCAGAGAACUGAACAAUUUUCUUUGUGUUUCAGUGAAGGCUGGUAUUGCAGAUAUCUUAGUGUGUGAGUCAGGAUAGCUGUGAAGCAAGUAAAUAGUCCCAUUCAAGAAAAAGCCUCGAAUAUUUUUUGCACGGCCUGAUAACAGUGCUCCUGUCUACCCUUGCCCUAAGCACAGGAGAGGAAAGGGGAAGGGAGCUUUGAUUGCACAUUAAGUAAGUAUAGUAAGAUUUGUGUGUGAGCGAGAGAGAGAGAUGGGGAAAGGUUACCCUGCGAAUGUGAAACUGCCAAAACUAGUAUUUGUGUCCUUACACACUCAUGGAAAGACCCCAACCUGCACUUUGGAGUUUCAAGUGAAGGAAUCUCAUUCUAACGGUGAAAUAGCAGUGGGAAUUCUUUGUUUGAACAGGGGGUGGAAAAUCGGGUAUUGCGAAUCCUCAUCCUACCUCUGCUGUGUGCAGACUGACAGGGAGAUAUUCCUAUCACCCUGGUGUCUCUCUGAUUAAAAUGGGAGAUACUGAAUUUCCCUCAUAUCCACUUGAUGUUGAACUCUAGUAUGUAUUCAAAAAUGGAAGACCCUUCAGGGGAAAGCAAAGCAUUCACCCAUAUGUGUCCCACUGUGCCCUACAAGAGUGUCAGUGGUGGCAUCCUAUGGGGUAGUCUGGAGCUGAAGCAGGGAAGCAGACCACUACAAAGGUGUCUCAUGUCUCCCAGCACACUGACUCACGGCAAAGGUUUGGGCUGUGUUAGUACAGUUCUCAUUCCUACUUUGUUUUUGAAUUAUUAUUACUAUUUUUCCAAAAAUUCACAUUUUUUCUUGUUUGACCAAAGGUUAAGUCACUCCUGCACUAUAAAUGUCCUGAGGAUGACUAGUAACUCCCUGCCCCGUGGCUGCAUGCAGUACAUGAGAUUUGCAGCAACUUCACAUCCUUGAAAGUAUUCCCUCUGCUCAUUUGGGUUUAGUUGGGCAAUGGACUCCAUCAUUACUGGAGUCAGUGACAAACUGGUAUACAGGCAAUCACCAUGAUGUCAAUCAAGGCCAGAAAGUAACCAGGCUUGAUCCUCUCCUUCUUCCACUGCCUAACACCACUGAAUGGAGAAUCAAACCAAUGGUUGUUGUCUGGGCCAUAAAUGGCUGCAGCCAAACCUUGUUUGGACAUUGGCUUUUGUUGCCAGUCACAACAAAGCUGUGCGCGUGGUCUUAUAUUCUGUUUGUGUAUGUAAUGAAAAGCCAUUUUAUUAUCCAUUGUUUUCUUAGUCUCUGAGAUUACAAGCAGGGUUGGGUAUGAAAAAGGCCUUGUUUUUCCCUUCCAAAAAUACUCGAAGCCUGAAUUCAAAUAUAUGUAUGAUGAGAAAUAUUUAAGAAUAAGGAGAAGAAAAUGAGAGCCAAAUUCACUGUUUCUUCCUGCAGCUAGAACUGAAAUAGCUGCCAAGACUUCCUCUCCCCAGCUUAGAAUUGGUACAGUUUGUUUCCUACAUAUUUUCCAUUGUGUUGAUAAUGAUGUAUUUGUAUAUUGUGGCUGAUGAGAGAUAAUCAGACAGGGAAAGAGCACAGAAUUACCUGCUCUUUUUUCCAGUCAAGAUGAAUGUAUGAAAUUAUUACAAGGAAAAAAAAAAAAAAGUGUGCAAAUGAGCUUUCUGUAAUUCUGACCUGUGUAAAACCACACUUUGUUUGAAAUUUAUAAAAACUAUAACUAGUACAAAA